rnacentral:rRNA from 1 species
AUUGCCUCUUGAUUCAUAAUAAGUGGUUAGUCCUGCCCAGUGAUAUAUUCAACGGCCGCGGUAUCUUGACCGUGCAAAGGUAGCAUAAUCAUUUGCCUAUUAAUUGUAGGCUAGCAUGAAUGGAUAAACGAAGUAAUAACUGUCUACAAAUAGCAACCUAAAAACUAAUCUCCUAGUGAAGAAGCUAGGAUAAAAUUACAGGACAAGAAGACCCUAUAGAGCUUUAUUUUUAUAUUAUAUUUUAAAUAAUAUAUAAUUUAGUUGGGGCGCCUAUGGAAAAAUCAUCCAGCAUAAAAUAGACACACAUGUCUAACUAAAGAUAUUUGUAAUAGCAAAAUUAAAGAAACUAGCUACCUUAGGGAUAACAGGCUAAUUUUUCUAAAGAGUUCAAAUUAACAGAAAAGAUUGGCACCUCGAUGUUGGCUUAGGGUAACUAUAAGAUGCAGCAGUCUUAAUAGUGGGUUUGUUCAACCCAUAAAACCCUACGUGAUCUGAGUUCAAACCCGAGAG